rnacentral:lncRNA from 1 species
GAGUGGCUGGUUCUCAACUCAUGCCUUCCUUCCCUGGCCACCCAAUUAAAGGCACACGGCCUCUUCCAUUCACUCUCAAUCACAUCGCCCUGUGGCAUUCUCCUAGCAACACUUUUCACAGAAAGAAAGAAAUGCUCUCAUCUCUUUCUUUCUCUCAUUGUUAUUUACAUUCCCUGGCAUGUAAGCUUCUUAAGAGAAAGGCUCUUGUUUGUCUUGUCCCCCCACUGUGCACUGUGGUUCUAGCAGCUAACACAGCAUCUGACUUGGAGUGGCUGCCCAGUACGCAUUUGAAGAAUGAAUGAAUGGAAAGUGAAUGAGCGAAUGGCUGGAGAGUAGAAGACGUGAGGGAUGGGGAAAGAAGAAAGACUGGAGAAGUGGGCAGGUGCCAGGCCUGGAAGACUGUACGUGGUGCUAAGAGGCCCCUGAAGGUAAUGGAAAGCCAAUCAAGGGUUUCUAGGAGGAUGUGAUGAGGAUGCGAUAAGGUAACACUGUGUUAUGUUGUUGGGAAUCAGUGAAGGUGGGAAACCUGGAACCCUGGAGAAAAUGAGUGACAACCAAAUCCUACGUUUGUUUGGUGUUUCCCCAUCAUCCCUCAAAGGGUGUGUAAGAUAGUGAGCCAUGUAGAAUAAGUAAUUAAUUAAUGCUGCGGGUUAAUAAGGGGUAGAUGACUCUCAAUUGCUACAUGCAAGCUGUUAUUUUCUCAUUUAGAAAAAGGAUCUUGUGGCUCACUGUGGAAAAUCAUCUUCCAGAAAAAAGAAAGAGACAUGUAUGUCGGCUCUGUCUAGAAUAUUUUCUCUGAACCAGAAUCUCUUUCCGUAGGGUAGCUGCCCUUGGCAACUCUCGGGUUACAAGAAGCUGGGCAGGAGAUUCCUGUGACAUUUCAGCAGAGUCACGAGUGGGUGGGAUGGGGAAGCUCCGAGCUGCAAAAUAGCUUGCAGUGCCUCGGAGAGGUGGCGCUGGCUAGCCUGGGACUUCCAACAUACAGCCUACAUUGAUGGCCUGAGACUUGUGGCAAAAAAGACUUUCAAAAUCUAAUUUGCUCACAUACAUGAACACCUGCCAGGAAGGAAUUUGAGGCCUUUGUUCUAAACAUGGAAAAGCUGAGUUCAUUUGCCCCAGAGGGGGCACCUGCAGGGAAAAGGAAAAAUGGUUUUAACCCUUUCCUUGAGUCAGAAAAUGAGGCCACCAGAUUCUCCUUUCAUCCUUCAAGUAUCAGAAAGGUCUGUGCUGUGAAUUCCACAGAUGAGAUUCAUUGCAAGAUGUGAGGGCAGAGGAAAUCCAUGGAAAUGGACCGAAUCUCAGACUUCUUGGGGAAGGUUUCAGUGGCUGCCUUUGCUGUGCAGACCUGGAGAUGGGUCUGAUGAUCGGACACCUGAAUUAUCUGUGUGGCUGAGUUUCAAGAAGACCUGCUGGGGUGAAAUGAAAAUGGUGCCUACUAGAAGCCCCAGUGGCUUUGCUGGUGGAGGCUAGCUUGCUCAUGUCCUCAUACAGAAGCAGAGAUGCAAGCAAGUGAGAAGGUGGAAGGACUCAGGUCUUGGGCCUUACUCUGAGAACUAUAACACCAUUCCUUCUGCUGCAUUCUCUUGUCUAAAUGACAUGGAUGAAGCUGGAAGCCAUCAUUCUCAGC